rnacentral:rRNA from 1 species
AAUCAACGCUGGCGGCGUGCCUCAGACAUGCAAGUCGAACGAUUAAAGCUCUCUUCGGAGAGUGUAUAGAGUGGCGCACGGGUGAGUAACACGUAAGUAAUCUACCUUUGAGUGGGGAAUAACAGUCGGAAACGACUGCUAAUACCGCAUAAUGCAGCGGCACCGCAAGGUGACAGUUGUUAAAGGAGCAAUUCGCUUAAAGAGGAGCUUGCGGCAGAUUAGCUUGUUGGUAAGGUAACGGCUUACCAAGGCUACGAUCUGUAUCCGGUCUUAGGGGACGGUCGGACACACUGACACUGAAUAACGGGUCAGACUCCUACGGGAGGCAGCAGUCGGGUAAUUUUGGGCAAUGGGCGAAAGCCUGACCCAGCAACGCCGCGUGAA